GCACACUGGGAUAGCUCAGUCAGUAGAGCAUGAGACUUCAUUGCAAGCUUGUGGGUUCGAGUCCCACGUUGGGCA